AGCUUUGCACAGUGGCAGUAUCAUAACCAAUUAAGUUAAUCCUGAGGUGUGUUAAUGCUACUUAAAAUCUGCUCCGUUUCCUGUGGUAAGAUGGUACAGUACUCCUGGAAACAGUAAGAAACUG
rnacentral:snRNA from 1 species